rnacentral:rRNA from 1 species
UUAGGAAAUGUAGAGGCGUUAAUAGCGCCUUUAUUUGACGAAGGCUCCAGAGGAAGCCACGGCUAACUCUGUGCCAGCAGCCGCGGUAAUACAGAGGUGGCAAGCGUUGUUCGGAAUUAUUGGGCGUAAAGAGCACGUAGGUGGGUUUGUAAGUCAGAUGUGAAAGCCUUCUGUUCAACGGAAGAAUUGCAUCUGAAACUGCGAAUCUUGAGUGUAGGAGGGGAGAGUGGAAC